GAGUCUGGGAACCAUUGGUUGAGAUCUGAUGGGAGCAUGAGGAGAAAGGAGAAAAAUGGACCUGGGCUGGGUCCCAGGGAAGCGUCCGUGUUGGCGAAAAGGCAGCCUGGAGAGGAGCGUGAUCCAGGUCACAGGCUGCUGUCAAGUCACACAGAGAGAGGGACGAAAUGAGGAAGUCUCCCGAUCUGCCUACAGAAGCUGUUGGUGACCCUGGAGUGUGCCAAGCCAGGGGGCAGGGGAGGGGCCGGGGCAGCAAUGCCACCUGGUGCCGAGUGGCCCAGAGGAGACCUCGGACAUGGCAUGGCUGGAGGAGAGCCCUGGAAUUGCUGACGUGGGUUCCGCGCCUGAUGGCUGGACGAGGUCAGGAUACUGGAGGGGGAAGACUCCAUCUCUUCUCUGAAGCCGCUCAACAUACUUCCAGGAUGCUUCGGAGCAAAGCCAAGACGUGUUAAGUCUUGUACGGAAAGCCUGUGGGACAGGAAGUGCCCCCUGCGGCCCUUACCUCGACCCCUCCAGCUGGACCACGCUCUGCCCGAAGCCAUUUGCAUUUUCCUGGAAGACGACUGCAUUUUCCGUGUCCAGGUUGAACCCAUGACUUAAGGCCAAGACUGGAAGGAGAACAAGGGGGUGGGAGUCAGGAGGAGAUACGGAGACAAGUUAAGAAAGCCCUCCUGCCCCGACCAUCUUCCUGCCAGGAUUCACCCUAACCCAGCACGGAGAUGGGGGCCUCCAGGGCCAGCCCUUACAGCCUGUAGCAGAGGGCACCACACGUCUGUCUGUCUGUCUGUCUGUCUUCCUUUCUUUCUUUCAUUUUGCCACACCAUAUGAGAGUGCUGGGGCCAGGGAUCAAGU